CAGAAAUGUCAGCCACUAAUAUACUCGUAAUUGUGUAGCACGAGCCUAGCAACAGACAUAAUCUGAAUAUACUGGUUGGACAGUACACAGUACACAAUGAACAUAGCCUAUAAGAAAACUACAUUCACAUUAGAGCUAUUAUGCUGUGAGAACAAAGAAGAAACGCGACACAAAAAUCGAAUCAUGGAAUGGAGUAUGUAAUGUACUAGAGACCGGAACGUCGACAUAGUUGUCGCCGGCUCAUGAUGGCUCACACAGUUUUUGCUUGCCGGCCGACGCGAAGGUCGGUCGAGGCAGCCCACGAGCGAUCUAGCAUUCCAACCGUUAUGAAUGAAUAGUGGUUCGACUAGUCGAAUGGCGCAUACUAAGUGGCUUUAGAUUAAUUUGACAACAAACAUUCAAGUUGGCAAAAACCGGAAUAUUCGUCGGCACCCGCCCCGUGGGAAACGCGUACGGUCCAAAAUGUUUUGUCUCCAAAUGAUUGUCCGAUUAAUAAGUACUUGGCCACUUAAUGUUCCGGUUAUUUUGAGCUUUCCGUAGCGUGUUACAAGCCCGAUUCGCUCUGAGUGUCUGAUAUGGAAACGUGUUAUGGCUCGCAAAUUUUUCGAUUGGUUUCAACUGAUUCCAAAUGAUAUUUAGACGCACGCUUGUGUAUGUGCUGCGUAUUAAUCUCAAUACAUUCGCAAUUAACUCUAAUUUAAUCUCUUUAGUUCGAUUAUACUUUGAUUUUACUGUGAGUAAGAUAUACCCAGGGACGUCUUAAAUUAGGCUGGGGCCCUUGGGCACACAACAAUUUGAGGCCCUUUUGGAAAGUAAAAAAGAGUAUGACCAUUUAUUUUAGGUAAUCAAAUACAGUAUGAUAUAAUAUAUCAUUAAUGUUAUUAGAAUGCUGCUGGUUUUUUGGUUACUUAGUAGAUGGUGUACUUAGUAAAUUAGGUAGGUUGCGUUCGGAAAUAUUAUUAAUUAGUACAGUAGGAAUAGGCGCAGUCAUCGAUAUAAUGGCGUAGUAUAUGCCUAACAAAUAGGUACCUUCUGAUAAGAUUACUGAUUUGUGAAAAAAGUGUAAUGUGCCCGACAAAAAUGUUUUGAGAAUAAAUGUGUGAGAGAAAUUGUCGGUCCUUAGGGCCCCCCUGAGCAUGGAGGCCCUGGGCACGGGCCCCGUGUGCCCUUAUGGUAAAGACGGUAUUGGAUAUACCGCUGCUGUCAGAGCUCUAUCUAACAUUUUCAAUAGUUUUUUUCGGUUUUCGCAAUAGGUAGAUGUAACUAAAACUACUUUUACAGUUAAUCUCGCUUUAUUUACUGUCGUCCUUUACAAUUAAACUGUAAAGUACUCGAAACGUCGACAAUACUAUAUAAUAAUAAUAAGCCAUUUAUUUCUUGCUUUACAAAGUUUUAAAAAAUAUAUAAUAAAUAUAAAUGUAUGUAUUAGUAUAUAGGAUGUAAAAGAGUUUUGUAAUGAAUCAGUAAAAUUUAGUUAGCAAGAACCCCGGAUUGGGUAAAGGCCUCCUCCAAAGAUGCCCAAGCGUCUCUAUCCUGUGCUACGUCUAUCCAGUUUGGGCCAGCUGUUCGUCUAAGAUCAUCUUCCUAUCUGGUUAGUGGUCUCCCUCGACUUCCGAUGCUAUCCUCGACAAUACUAUAAUUACAAUAAAAAAAUCGAGAUUAAGCCAUCAAAACUGUAUAAAUAACUAAUUUAUGUGUAUUGUCUAUGAUUAUAUCUUAUAGUAAUUUUAAUGUAAGGUGGUCCAAUAAUAAUUCCUUCAAAUACAUCCACUUUUAUUAUAUAAUACCGGAAGCAUAAAAUAAUUUUAGCGACCGUUGUCGAAUCACACACACCUUGAGAUUGUGAUUGUGAUGUCGAUUGUGUCAUGGACACCAUGAGAUAUUCCGUAGCCGUAUAGCAAUAAAAAAACGCUCGUUUUGAA